rnacentral:lncRNA from 13 species
CAGGGAGUCUGGGAAGCAGACAGCAUUUCCACUGUUGUGCCACAGGAAUAUCUGCUAGAAUCCCACUGCAGUGCCUGGGCACCAUAUUGACUCCACCACCAUGAACUACCUUUAACUCUCUGUGUCUUCAUGUUUCUUCUUCCACAUUCAAAAUCCCAGGAUGAAGACCAUGGGUGGCAAACUGCCACCCCAACAUCUGGAGAGACAAAUGUAUCUGGGGAGUCACAGCUGAGAUUUGCUUACGUGGAGCAGAGGCCAUUCAAGUCAUAAGCUGGCAUGGUCAUGGCUCACUGCAGCUUCAAACUUCCAGGCUCAAGAAAUCCUCCUACAUCAGCCUGCAGAGAAGCUAGAACCACAGCCUCAUGUCACCAUACCAG